UACGUAGGGGGCAAGCGUUGUCCGGAAUCAUUGGGCGUAAAGAGCGUGUAGGCGGUCCGGUAAGUCGGUUGUGAAAGUCCAGGGCUCAACCCUGGGAUGCCGAUCGAUACUGUCGGACUAGAGUUCGGAAGAGGCGAGUGGAAUUCCCGGUGUAGCGGUGAAAUGCGCAGAUAUCAGGAGGAACACCGGUGGCGAAGGCGGUUCUCUGGGCAUUACCUGACGCUGAGGAGCGAAAGUGUGGGGAGCGAACAGG
rnacentral:rRNA from 1 species